rnacentral:rRNA from 1 species
AAAAUCCACCAGCAUAAUUCCAGACGUUGAACAAGGGGAAGCCGCAAGGUGGAACCGAUGGUGUAGCGCAAAGCUUCCAAGAAAUAAGCUCUAGUCGUCGAUGGUGACCGUACCAAAACCGACACAGGUGGGUGAGAAGAAUAUUCUAAGGCGCGCGAGAGAACUCUUGUUAAGGAACUCGGCAAACUAUUCCCGUAACUUCGGGAGAAGGGAAGCUGCAGGGCGUGAUUGUCUUCGCGACAUGAGCGCCAGGCAGCCGCAGAGAAAUGGCCCAGGCGACUGUUUAACAAAAACACAGCACUAUGCAAAGCCGAAUAGGCGAAGUAUAUGGUGUGAUGCCUGCCCAAUGCCAAAAGGUCAAAAGGAGAUGUCAGAGGUAGCAAUACCUCAAAGCAUUGAAUUUAAGCCCUGGUGAAUGGCGGCCGUAACUAUAACGGUCCUAAGGUAGCGAAAUUCCUUGUCGGGUAAGUUCCGACCUGCACGAAUGGUAUAACGAUCUGGGCGCUGUCUCAACAAGAGGCUCGGUGAAAUUGUAGUAGCGGUGGAGAUGCCGUUUACCCGCAAUAAGACGGAAAGACCCCGUGAACCUUUACUGUACUCUGAUAUUGGCUUCUGACUUGUCAUGUGUAGGAUAACCGGGAGACUGUGAAGCGCCCUCGUCAGGGGGUGUGGAGUCAACGUUGAAAUACCGGUCUUGCCAAGUUGGAAAUCUAACGAAGCUCUGUGAAUCCAGAGUUCGGACAUUGUCAGACGGGCAGUUUUACUGGGGCGGUAUCCUCCUAAAGAGUAACGGAGGAGUUCAAAGCUUACCUCAUCGUGUUUGGUAAUCACGAGUAGAGCGUAAAGGUAUAAGGUAAGUUAACUGUGAGACCAACAAGUCGAGCAGAUACGAAAGUAGGACUUAGUGAUCCGGCAGUGGAAAGUGGAAUCGCUGUCGCUCAACGGAUAAAAGGUACUCCGGGGAUAACAGGCUUAUCGCCGCCAAGAGUUCAUAUCGACGUGGCGGUUUGGCACCUCGAUGUCGACUCAUCGCGUCCUGGGGCUGUAGAAGGUCCCAAGGGUUUGGCUGUUCGCCAAUUAAAGCGGUACGCGAGUUGGGUUCAAAACGUCGUGAGACAGUUUGGUCCCUAUCUUUUGUGGGCGUAGGAUACUUGAGAGGAGCUGCUUCUAGUACGAGAGGACCGAAGUGGACAAACCAAUGGUGCGCCGGUUGUUCUGCCAAGAGCAUAGCCGGGUAGCUAAGUUUGGAAAGGAUAAGCGUUGAAAGCAUCUAAACGCCAAGCCUCCCUCAAGAUAAGGUAUCCCAAUGAGACCCCCUGUAGACUACAGGGUAGAUAGGUUGGGUGUGUAAGCAUAGUGAUAUGUUUAGCUAACCAAUACUAAUCGGUCCACCGGCUUGACCAC